GACGAACGCUGGCGGCGCGCUUAACACAUACAAGUCGAGCGAGGACCAGACCUUCGGGUCUGGGGACAGCGGCGAACGGGUGAGUAACACGUGGGUAAUCAACCCUCGGUACUGGGAUAGCCCGGGGAAACCCGGAUUAAUACCGGAUGGCCCUUCGGAUCUUCGGUUCUGACGGAAACGGAAGCUUCGGCCUCCGCAUCGGGAGGAGCUCGCGGCGCAUUUGCUUGUUGGUGGGGUGACGGCCUACCCAGGCGACGAUGCGUAGCUGGUCUGAGAGGACGAUCAGCCACACUGGGACUGAGACACGGCCCAGACUCCUACGGGAGGCAGCAGUGGGGAAUCUUGCGCAAUGCGCGAAAGCGUGACGCAGCAACGCCGCGUGGGGGAAGACGGCCUUAGGGUUGUAAACCCCUUUCAGGAGGGACGAAGGUUCACCGGUGAAUAGCCGUGUGGAUUGACGGUACCUCCACAAGAAGCUCCGGCUAACUACGUGCCAGCCGCCGCCGUAACAC
rnacentral:rRNA from 1 species